rnacentral:rRNA from 1 species
AUUGAACGCUGGCGGCAUGCUUUACACAUGCAAGUCGUACGGUAACAGGCCUUCGGGUGCUGACGAGUGGCGAACGGGUGAGUAAUGCAUCGGAACGUACCCAGAGGUGGGGGAUAACGCAGCGAAAGCUGUGCUAAUACCGCAUGUGAUCUGAGGAUGAAAGCGGGGGACCGAGCAGCAAUGUUUGGCCUCGCGCCUUUGGAGCGGCCGAUGUCGGAUUAGCUAGUUGGUGGGGUAAAGGCCUACCAAGGCGACGAUCCGUAGCUGGUCUGAGAGGACGACCAGCCACACUGGGACUGAGACACGGCCCAGACUCCUACGGGAGGCAGCAAUGGGGAAUUUUGGACAAUGGGCGCAAGCCUGAUCCAGCAAUGCCGCGUGCGGGAAGAAGGCCUUCGGGUUGUAAACCGCUUUUGGCAGGAACGAAACGGUGUCCGCUAAUACCGGGCGCUAAUGACGGUACCUGCAGAAUAAGCACCGGCUAACUACGUG